AGAAUCAACGCUGGCGGCGUGCCUAACACAUGCAAGUCGAACGAGAAAGGGGUAGCAAUACCCUGAAUAAAGUGGCGCACGGGUGAGUAACACGUGACUAACCUACCCUUGAGUGGGGGAUAACUGAGGGAAACCUUAGCUAAUACCGCAUAAUACCCACGGGUCAAAGGAGCAAUUCGCUCGAGGAGGGGGUCGCGGCCGAUUAGUUAGUUGGCGGGGUAAUGGCCCACCAAGACGAUGAUCGGUAU
rnacentral:rRNA from 1 species